rnacentral:rRNA from 1 species
ACAAUGCGGGACUAUACGUCUUGCAAUUGGAUUGAGAACAAUGUACAACUCUUAUCGAUAAGCCAUUGGAGGGCAAGUCUGGUGCCAGCAGCCGCGGUAAUUCCAGCUCCAAUAGCGUAUAUUAACGUUGUUGCAGUUAAAAAGCUCGUAGUUGAAGUGUGGGUGAUCGCUAUUGUGAGACUUCGGUCUCUCGACAGUAAGUCACCCCCUUCCAGUAUCCAGUAGUGGGUAUUCAGUUACUUACUAUUGUGUGUUGGUCCUUUACUGUGAGAAAAUUAGAGUGUUCAAAGCAGGCGUUUGCUUGAAUAGAUUAGCAUGGAAUAAUAAUUGAAGGCUUUCGUGUUCGAUUUGAUUGGUUUGUUCAUGGAAGCAAGGUUAAAAGGAACAGUUGGGGGUAUUCAUAUUCACUAGUUAGAGGUGAAAUUCU